UCUCCUUCUUCUUUUCUUCUUCUUCUCCUCUUCCUUCUCCUUCUCCUCCUCCUCUUCCUCCUCCUCCUCCUCCUUCUUUUACUUCUUCUUCUCUUUCUCUUCUUCUACGUAGCUUAGACUCAUCCAAGAAAGGCUAAAUUGGCUAAUUAUCCUACAAAAUAACAUAAUUAGCUUAGUUAGCUCCAAAAUGACCUAUUUAAU
rnacentral:lncRNA from 1 species